UUUGCGUUUAAAAUACCCAACAAGCUUUCUGGCGCCGUUGCCGGGGAACGGUAGCUGUGCUAGUUUCGAACCAAGUCGUCCGUGUAUCCUUUUUCUUUUCCUUUUUUUACCACACUCACCUUAUCAUUUUCACCAUACCACAUGGAUUUCACUCUAAGCAUCAAUGAGCAUGGAAUUUAUUUCAUAGCCACUUCAUUUACUCCAUGCUCAUAUGCAACAUCUUCACAAUCCAUUGGUCUCUCUAACAUCACCACA
rnacentral:lncRNA from 1 species